rnacentral:lncRNA from 1 species
GAACCGCUCAUUGAGGUUAGAAAGGCAGAAUUCACCUCCACCUCUUUUGGACAUGAUUACUCCUCCAACUCAGUCACCUUCCUCAAGUCCUCCAGAGGCACACACCACUGCACACGAUGUCUCUGGCUCGGAGACAAAAAAUUUACAGGAGAACAAAUUGAACCGCUCAUUGAGGUUAAAAAGGCAGAAUUCACCUCCACCUCUUUUGGACAUGAUUACUCCUCCAACUCAGUCACCUCCCUCAAGUCCUCCAGAGGCACACACCACUGCACACGUUGUCUCUGGCUCGGAGACAAAAAAUGUACAGGAGAACAAAUUGAACCGCACAGUGAGGUUAAAAAGGCAGAAUUCACCUCCACCUCUUUUGGAAAUGAUUACUCCUCCAACUCAGUCACCUCCCUCAAGUCCUCUAGAAGCACAUACCACUGCACACGUUGUCUCUGGCUCGGAGACAAAAAAGGUACGAGCGAACAAAUUGAACCGCACAGUGAGGUUAAAAAGGCAGAAUUCACCUCCGCCUCUAUUGGAAAUGAUUACUCCUCCAACUCAGUCACCUCCCUCAAGUCCUCCAGAGACACACACCACUGC